rnacentral:rRNA from 1 species
UACAGAGGGGGCAAGCGUUGUCCGGAUUUACUGGGCGUACAGCGCGCGCAGGCGGAACUGGACGUGCCGUGUGACAGACCACCGCUCACCGGUGGAGGGCCACGGUACACGACAGUUCUGGAGGCAGGGAGAGGGAUGUGGAAUGCCCGGUGGAGCGGUGAAAUGCGUAGAGAUCGGGCGGAACACCAGCGGCGAAGGCGGCAUCCUGGCCCUGACCUGACGCUGAGGCGCGAGAGCGUGGGGAGCAGACUGG